rnacentral:rRNA from 1 species
AGAGUUUGAUCCUGGCUCAGGACGAACGCUGGCGGCGUGCCUAACACAUGCAAGUCGAGCGGAGGUAUAUACGAAGAAGUUUUCGGACGGAAUUGUAUAUACUUUAGCGGCGGACGGGUGAGUAACACGUGAGCAACCUACCUUUUGCAGGGGAAUAACUCUGGGAAACCAGGGCUAAUACCGCAUGACGUGCACUUGGGGCAUCCUUUGUGCAUGAAAGGAUUAUAUCCGGCAGAAGAUGGGCUCGCGUCCGAUUAGGUAGUUGGUGAGGUAAAGGCUCACCAAGCCGACGAUCGGUAGCCGGACUGAGAGGUCGAUCGGCCACAUUGGGACUGAGACACGGCCCAGACUCCUACGGGAGGCAGCAGUGGGGAAUAUUGGGCAAUGGGCGAAAGCCUGACCCAGCGACGCCGCGUGAAGGAGGAAGGCUUUCGAGUUGUAAACUUCUUUGGGGAGGGACGAAGAUGACGGUACCUCCAGAACAAGCCACGGCUAACUACGUGCCAGCAGCCGCGGUAAUACGUAGGUGGCGAGCGUUAUCCGGAUUUACUGGGUGUAAAGGGCGCGCAGGCGGCCCUGGAAGUCAGAUGUGAAAGAUCAAGGCUUAAACUUUGACAGGUCAUCUGAAACUUUGGGGCUUGAGUAUCAGAGGGGAAAGUGGAAUUCCUAGUGGAGC